rnacentral:rRNA from 1 species
AUUGAACGCUGGCGGCAGGCUUAACACAUGCAAGUCGAGCGAGCGGCGGACGGGUGAGUAAUGUCUGGGAAACUGCCUGAUAGAGGGGGAUAACUACUGGAAACGGUAGCUAAUACCGCAUACCAUCGGAUGUGCCCAUAUGGGAUUAGCUAGUAGGGGGUGUAAUGGCUAACCUAGGCGACGAUCUCUAGCUGGUCUGAGAGGAUGACCAGCAACACUGGAACUGAGACACGGUCCAGACUCCUACGGGAGGCAGCAGUGGGGAAUAUUGCACAAUGGGCGCAAGCCUGAUGCAGCCAUGCCGCGUGUGUGAAGAAGGCCUUCGGGUUGUAAAGCACUUUCAGCGAGGAGGCGUUACUCGCAGAAGAAGCACCGGCUAACUCCGUGCCAGCAGCCGCGGUAAUUC